GUCCCUUCGGGGACAUCCGAUAAAAUUGAAACGAUAAAGAUUAGCAUAGCCCGUACGCAAGGAUGACACACACAAAUUCAGAAAACACAUGUAU
rnacentral:snRNA from 3 species